rnacentral:rRNA from 1 species
UACAGAGGGUGCGAGCGUUUGUUCGGAAUUAUUGGGCGUAAAGGGCGCGUAGGCGGUGCGGUAAGUCUGAUGUCGAAAUCUCCGGGCUCAACUCGGAGUCUGCAUCAGAAACUGCCGUGCUCGAGUGUGGGAGAGGUGAGUGGAAUUCCCGGUGUAGCGGUGAAAUGCGUAGAUAUCGGGAGGACACCUGCGGCGAAAGCGGCUACUGGAC